CCCCCAAACUCACCUUUGUUUUUGAAGGAAGGUGGAUGAGUUUCAAAUCCCUUUCCCUCUCCAGGACUGAAGGUUGUUUAUUUUUCCUUUCCCCUCCACCCCCACCCCUCUUGCAUGCAAAGAUAAAUAUUCAAUUUACAUAAGAUGACAUUUAUGUGACAAUUAAGGAGAUUCCCCGAUGGAAUGUUGUGAACACAUUUGCUUAUAGGAGAAAUAAAUCUAAUAAUAAACAAACUCAGAACAGCUCAAAUCCUCUGACAGGGAGGUUGUCUCUGCAACAAAGAGGGGCAUGAGGGACUCUGAAAGCUCUCUGUGCAACAAGAAAGAGAUGAACCCAAAGGAAGCCACCAGCAGAAUUUCUUUUCUUUGGCCUUCAUUCACAAAGUUUGAAGAGGCUUGCCUGGCAAGAGGAGGGACUGGCUCACCAUCACCUCACAGUUAGCCCUGGCUUUGGUUUUCAAUGGUCCACUGAGAUUUUCCCAGGCCAAGGUCAAUGUCUGCUAACAGGUGUUGCAGGCAGGGAGUGCCCAACAGAGUGGUUAAUGGCUUCUAAUCCUGGCUUUCCUUUUCAGAAGGCUGAAGCGGGCCAGUGACUACAUCUCUCUGGGUCUGUGUUCACCUUGGUGAGCCGAAAACUCCAGAGACACCUGUGGACACACCAGCUUGAACCCAGAGCUUUGCCUGUGCUAGGCAAGAGAGGACAAUGCUCUCAGUCUUCCCCCUGAGGAUACAUUGCAAGAACUCCAGCGUGCACAGAAAGAGAACCAAGAGUGGAACUGGUAUGUGCAGUGCCUGCGGGGGCCAGAAGAAGGCAUCAGACCUAAGAGGGACAGUUUUAAGUUGGAGCGUCUGAGAAGAUGGCAGAACUUACUUCAAGGGCUGCAGGAUGGUGGCUCACACCUACUAUCCUACCACCUAGGGGGAGCCGAUGGAGGAGAAUCGGGAGUUCAAGGUCAUCCUGGACUACAUAGCAAAUUUGAGGUCAGCCUGGACGGCCGAAGGUCCUGGAUUCAACUCUCAGCAUUGCAAAAAUAAUAAAGAUCUUAUACCCGAGAGGAGUCCAUAGGAUCAGAGUCCUUGAGUACAAGGCACAGACAAGGUUAAGAGGCUAACAGGGUCAGAAGUUUGAGGUGGCUUUCUCUGAAGGGGAAUUAUCAUUCCAUCCAUUGCUGCUGAUGUACCUGCUGUGUGCCAAACAGACCUUGAGAAAGAAGACAAGGCUGGAAGUUUAAGCCUCCUUCAUGAUACAUAGAAACUGCAGCUGGGCCCUGGAACAGAGUGAGAAGCCCCUCAAGGCUAUUUGUAGCUAAAGAUUCUACCUUGGCGAGAUAUGAACUUGGCUCUGCCUGGGUGUCCAUCGGUGUAUGGGAAAGGUGCCCCUCUGCAGCUGCAGUCAGCCAGUUCAGAGAUGGUUCCAACCAGUCCCUGGAGAUGUCUGGAUAAUGUGCCAGCCAUGCCACCUGUCCCCUCUCAUCCUCUCAGACCUAGACGGUCACAGAUGGCAGAGGGCAGUGGAGAUCCCAUGGGCCUCCAGACACCUCUCCAGAAUCUGGCAGCAGCCAGUAACUCCUGUCAGAUCAGUGCCUACCCAACCCGAGUCCCAUGUGUGAGAUGCCCCACUCUGAGCUGAGGGGAAUCGGCCCCAUUCAGGAACCCAAGGUACAGGUUCUAAAUCAAGCUGAGUUGAAUAAAUAAACACCCUUCACUUCUUGUAGAGCUUCUGAUAAAUCAAUGCAAAUUUCUCCACAUUGCCAGACACUCAGGCUUUCUCUCUGCCUAGUUACAAGGGAAAUAGCUCACCUUUGGGAACACUUACAGGCUUGGUGGGUAUGCAGCCAGCCAGUACAGUACUUGCCUCACAUACACGAGGCCCUGAUUUUUGACCCCUCACACCACGCAAACCAAGCCUGCAAGGUGAACAUCUAUAAUUUCACCACUGGGGAUGUGGAGGCAGGAGCACCCAAAUUAUUAGCUAAAUAACUAGUGACCUCGAGGUUGAAAGCCCGUCUCAAACAAACAGAGAAAAACGAUAAAAUGUCUUAGGAAACUGGGGUUAAAAUGGCCAAAAGAAUUUCUUUUCUUCUUUUGAGACAGGUCUCACUAUGUGGCCCUUGCUGUCCUGGAAUUCACUACGAAGACCAGUCUGGCCUUGCACUCACAGGGAUCCUUUGUUUCUGCCUUUGGGGUGCUGGAAUCAAAGAGUCCAUGUCUUCUAAAGACUUCUCAUGGAGGUUGACCUAUGGCAGAGACUCAGCAAGCCCGGUUUCUCCGUGAUCUGGGACCUUGGCCAGUUACCUGAGUCUGGGAAUCAAGUGGAGUAAAGACAGUGCUGAGAAGUUUGGUCGUCAGAAGAUGCUCACGCCUGUGGUGGGCCAGAUUCUAUUUCCUCCCAGUUUAUCUACAGGAAAUAUCUCCUGCCCAUGGGGUGACAAAGGCAGGCAUAAUUCAUUAGCAGAACAGUUACUAAGAACCCACUCAGGGCUGGGGUGUUUUUAAGGCCUGUGUUCAGUCCCAAACCUUAAAUCAACUGAACACAAUACCACAUACUAUAACUCUAGUACUCAGGAGGGAGAACCAGGAGAAGCAGGAGAAGCAGAAGUCCAAGGCCAGGAUGGAUUAGCUGGUAAAGGCACCUGAUACUGAGCCUGGCAACCUGAGCUCCAUCCCUGGGACACUCGUGGUUGAAGGAGAGAACUGACCUCUGUAGUUGUCCUCUCAUCUUUGUGAUGCGCAGAGGAAUAAGCAUGCUCACCUGCACCCAGACAAAUAAAUGUAAUAGAAGUCAUUCUUUAAAAAGAAGUUCAUGGUUGUCCUGGACCACAGAGCAAACUUAAACCUGGCCUGGGUGGUGUCAAGGGAUGUAAAGACGAGGCCAGGGCUUGGGCUCUGAGCUGGUGAAUCCAGGUGUGGGCUGUGCUCAGAUUGGAGUCUGUGCCCUUCUAGGCCUAAACCCUCCCUGACAGCAGGUUAUGGAGGUGUGGCUGAUGAGAUCCCUGUACUACAGGAUGGAAGAAGGGCAAACCACAGCAGGUAGGAGGACUGAGUCAAGGUUUAGUGUGAACCCAGACGCAGUAAGUCCUGCCAGGUCCUGAGGCACCCUACUCCACUCAAGUCUUCAUAAAUGGUCACUACGACUUCAGUCCUUUUGACCAACCUCCUGCUAUGGGAAGUGCCCCAGCAUGCAAGGUGACUCUUGAAACUUUCUUAGAGGGCUAAGGAGCAAAUGUUCUUCCUUCGGGUGUUGUCCACUGGCUUUCUACACUUGAUCUUAGCCAAAAGGCCGAGAAGCGAUUCCACUGGCUUCCUAGGACCUGUGGCUAUAGAGGGAGUGGUAGAGGUCUAUCUAGCUAGAGCCUCAGGGAGAGGCUUGGGAUGGAGUCACACUAGCUCCCCACAUUAGGAAGAUGAUGGGAACGAGAGAAUUUUUUCUUGAGCUCAUCCCCAUCCUGCAGACUGGGCAGGAGAGGCAUAGUGCAGGUUAAACAGAGCGGGUUGCAUGGCCAGUGCAUGCCACCCUGGACAAUGUCUGUCCCUAGACACUCCAUUUCAUAUGUCCCUGAUCCCCACCUGCUCUUGGAGCUUAAACAAAAGCUGGUAGAUACUUGUGUCCAGUCCCUGAUGGACAAGCAUUCCUUAAGGGGAGCAGGUACCAGAAGCCCGAGGGAUGGCUCAACAGGUAGAGGAACAAAAUGCCAAAUCCAAUGUCCUGAGUUCAAAUCCUAGGACCUAUGUGGUAGGAGAGAACUAGUUCACUCAAGUUGUUUUAUGACCUACCCAUAAACACAAUACCACAUACUAUAACUCUUGGCAUGUAUGCAUGGUGUGCCCCUCCCCAUUUAUUUAAAAGAGAGGAAGAAAGGGAAACAGGAUACAAGAUGAAGUAGGAUAUAAGUUGCUGCUCAUACGUGUCUGCCCUGUUUGUAUCAGGGGCAGGGAGGGGAGAGGAAGAGAAGGGAAGCCAGAAAGGAGAUGCUUGUGUGGGGGCUGAGGGAAGGGAGAGUACUCGUACAUAUGCAUUUGUGUCUGCCCUUUAUCAGUGCAUGCCUACAGGAGCCUAAGGCCAUGUCUCUGGAGUCCCCCUCUUUGGAGCGAUUUUCCCAGACAACCUAAAAAUAAUUUCCAUCUAACUCGAGGAUUUGUGAUUUGAUGCACACGGUGCUUGAAUAGCAGAUACGCUUUUUUUUUUUUUAACCCACGUUUUUAAUCUAAGAUCAACAUCCAGUUCCAGUGAGUCUGCAUUAUUUAUGCAUAGUAAGUAAAAUGCAGCUAGAGCGGCCUGGAGUAAGUCUAGAGAAGAACUGUCCUGCCAGGGUUGGUGGGGUGUCUCUGUAAUCCCAAGAGCUUGGGAGGUUGAGGCAGGAUGGCUGCUGUGAGUUCGAGGUCAGCACGGCUUAUGUAGCAAGACUCACAUGUCACCAAAGGUGUGAGAAGGAAAGCGUCUUUACAAAGACGACGAGGUCAGAUGCAUGCACGGGCUGACAGUGACCGUGUGUAAGGGGACCCUGAGGUCCAGGAGGUAAAGGCACGUUUGCAAAGAUUUAAUGUUUAUUUGACAUGCACGAGGAUUGUGAUUCUAGGUGUACCACAGAGUCCCUGGUGCUUGAGGAGGUCUGAAGCCGGCACUGGAUCCCUUGAACUGGAGUUAGGAAUGGGUAUGAGCCUCCACGUGGGUGCUGGGAGCUGGAGACAGGGCUUCUGCAAGAGCAGCGAGGGCUCUUAAUCACGGAGCUGCCUCUCCAGCCCCUCAGCUGGUGUUUUUAAAGUCUACUUCUUAGGUGGCUGAAGGGUGAGAAGAUUAGGUGUCAGAUGAAGAGGAUGGACGGGUAUGACUGACUGUGGAGAUAGGGUAAAGGGGAGUAUGGUACAAACUGUGGCCUGUAAUGAGUUACAUCUAACUAGGUAGGGAGUAGAUAAAGGGGCCAGGAGAGACACGACACCCACCCUAUUGUCUUCAGUGUACUUCCCUGAACCUGGGAAGAUGUUCCAUCAGGAGACAAAGAGACUCCACAGAGAUGAUUAAAAUACAGACAUUGGUUCUGGGGAAGGUGGCUCAGCAGUUAAGUCUAUUGCUCCUCUUACAGAGGACCAAGUUCAGUUCCUAGCACCCAUGUUGGGUGUUUCAUAAUUGUCUGGAACUCCAGCUCCCAAGGAUCUGGCUCCCUCUCCUGACUUCUGCAGGUACACCCUGCCCCAUGUACUUGUGCACUCUCACACAUACACAUAAAUAAAACGGGAAAAGAACUAUUAAAAAGGUAAGAAGCUGGGCUGGAGAGAUGGCUCAGGACUGACUGCUCUUCCAGAGGUCCUGACAGCUCAAGUCUCAGUAACCACAUGGUGGCUCACAACCAUCUGUAAUGGGACCUGAUGCCCUCUUCUGGUGUGUCUGAAGACAGCUACAGUGUACUCAUAUAAAUAAAAAUAAACUAAGGAGCUUAGUUAGGCUGGGCAGUGGUAGCUCAGACCUUUACCCUAGUACUCGGAGGCAGAGGCAGGUGGAUCUCUGUGAGUUCAUAGGUCAGCCUGGUCUACACAGUGAGUUUCAGGACAGCCAGAGCUACACAGAGAAAACCAGUCUUGGGGAAAAAAUAUUAAGGAGCUUGGCAUGGGCAAUGACUCUGGCUUAUCCAGGUGAGUCCUUCUAGGCAUAUCCAGACCAGAUCCUUGCAAGCUGGAGUUACAAAUGGCUGUAACAUGGCCUCUGCUGCGUACUUCUCAGGUCUCGAUUGUGCCCAGCGCAUUCCUACCUCAGGAACUUUGAACUUGCUGUUUCCUCUGCCUGCUCUUUUCAUCACUCAGAUCUCCGUCCAGAUGAGAGCCAGCUCUCUGCUUCCAGAUUUUUGUCCUGGAGCUCUGAGUACACUCUGUUCUGGAAGGACUGGGUUGGGGCAACAGGAUGCAAGCUCCUCGCCUGAGCCGGCUGGCAUCCUCCCCAGCCCAAGUCCCGCCCAAGGUUGCGGGAUGGAGCAGUGUGCAUGAGUCAUCCGGCCACAGACACAGUCCCCUUGUUGGAGGGACCUGACUAGUUAGGUUGUGGCUAACUCCAAGAGCCAAGGGCCCAGUUGAAAGGGGAGGUUAGGAAUUUCCCCAAGUUCCUUAGAAUCACACAGGUCCAGGAGGGAACUGGGGGGUGGAAGGGCUGAGGAAGCCCUCUGAAGAGACUGUUGUGUCCCUAACCCACGUUUGAGCAGGCUCUGCAGAUGGAGACAGUGCUUAUGGUGGACUUACAGAGCUCGCUAUCCAUUUAGCCACCUACAGUGUGCUGAGGGUCACUCACAUGUCGUACUGUAGGUCAGACCCUGUCCACCAAGGGUGUGCAGUCUACAGUGAGACCCACAUGCCCACCAAGGCUUACUGAGGGGGGAGGGGCUCAGAGUUGGGGUGCAUAGGAGAGGAUGUGUGGGGCAGGCGAUGACGGUCAGUAAGGGAACCUGCCGAAGAGGCAGGGUAGGGGUGCACUGCACUACAGGAAGCAGAGACAGCUUGAGUUCGUUACCUUCAUAAGGAGGAUGUCAUGAGGUACCAACAAAAGGAAGCGUUAGUCACAGAAAUGUAUUCUCUCUGGAAUCUGGAAGCCAGAAAUCAGUGUUGACAAGACCUCUUCCUUCUAACGCCUGACUCAGGGGAGGAUGCUUCUGUCUCUCCCAGCUUCUGGUUGCUUCAAGCAUUCUUUGGCCCGUGGCCACAUCUCUGUGGUUUCUGCCUUCCUCACCACGUGGCUGUCUCCUCCAUGCCUGCUUAAGUGUCUCUGUGUCUUCACGUGUUGUCUCCUCCUCCUCCUCCUCUUCCUCCUUCUUCUUCCUCCUCUUCUUCUGUAUAUAUACCCAAACCAUGCUCCUCGUACCCAAUCUUUUCCAUGCCUUUCUUCCUCUCCUCAUCCUUUCUUCCUCCCCUCAUCUCUCACAUCAUUACCUCCUCUCCUCCUCUUCCCCUCCUUUUCCCUCCCCCUCCCCCCAAACUUUUCCCCCCAGUAGACUGUAUUUCACUUUGUAACCCAGGCUCGCCUUCAACUUACUAUGUAUACUGUAUAGCCAAGGUUGCCUUAAAACUCACAAUCCUCCUGCCUCAGACUUCUGACCGCUGGGAUAGCAGGUGCACUGUACCACUGGAUUCAGCUUCAAAUCUUCCUGUUUUUUAUAAAGAUACCAGUCAUACUACAUAGGCGCCCACUCUACUCUAAUGGUCUAAUUUAACUGUAUUAGGUUAGCUUCCACACAGGGUCACCUUGCAGGUACCAGUGACUAGGACUUCAGUGCAUCGUCCUCGUGUAGAUGGGAUAUUGGGACGCAAUUGAACAAAAGCAGUGAGCAAAGGCUCGGAAGGGACAGAGCUCAGGGCCAGAUGUCUCCCAGGCUGGCCUCAUACUCACCAUCCUCUGACCUCAGCCUUCGGGUACUCAUCAUCAUAUCAUGGCAACUUUCUUUUCUCAGUUGGUAUAGUGGUUUGGAUAAGAUUGGUCCCCUAGGGCCAUAGGAAGUGGCGCUGUUAGGAGGCAUGGCCUUGCUGGAGUAGAUGUGGCUUUGUUGAAGGAAGUGUAUUACUAGGGGGUGGGCUAUGAGGUCUCAGAAGCCAGACUCAGUUGUCUCCCUUGCUCUUCCUGCUGCCUGCCAAUCCAGAUGUAGAGCUCUUAGUUCCUUGUCCAGCACCAUUUAUGUCUGCUUUCAGGCUGCCAUGCUUCCCGCCAUGAUGAUAAUGGACGAGACCUCAGGAACUGUAAGCCAGGACCAAUUAAAUGCUUUCCUUUGUAAGAGCUGCUAUGAUCAUGGUGUCUCUUCACAGCAGUAGAACUCACUAAGACAGUCGGCAACCUGUCUCUUCAAGGAACCCUCUGACCCUGACAUCGCUCUGUGUGGGUGCCUGCCUCUGGUGUAGGGCCCACUUUGUCUACUGCCCAGUGCUUAGGUGAGGCGUCUUUCUCACUGUUCCUUGCAGACUCAUAGAGCUCCAUGUCAAGUCUGCCUUAGAGCCUUGAAUCUGGCCCCUCACUCAGAUCCUGAACACUUUUCACCGUCUCUGCCAGACAUCUCACCUGGGCUCGGAUGUCUUCGCCACAGGGUGCACACAGAGCAAAGUCGCCUAGGACUCAACGGCUCCUGACUGCUGGACCCCACCAAAUCCCUCCCAGCAUCUUCCUCAACCCACCCCAGACCCACAGAUUCCCCCUUGGCCCCACCUACCAGGACUAUGGCGAAUUACAAGUCAGCUGAAAGCCGCCUUGACCCAACCAUCUCCCUUACCUGCCUGUCAGUGUCACCCCGACAAGGGUUAUGCCCAGAGAGUAGCUGGGCAUUUUCUCUUCAGGAGCCUGACAGGCGGUUGACAGCAGGUCCUAGUCCUACAGGAAAACUGCCACCCAAGCUGGGGAUGGGCUAGUCUGUGGGCUUCGUCCACAGUCAGCAGCCUCUGAGGUGAGGGAAGCCAGGCAGUCCUGGCUGGCAGCUGAAGAGGUCUC